rfam:Sorghum bicolor cultivar BTx623 chromosome 3, whole genome shotgun sequence.
GUAGUCGGAUGCAUAUCAAUCUACAUGUGUUGAGGUGGAUUGGAGUGGAACUUGAACUAAAAUUCACUCCAAUCCAUACCAAUACACAUGGAUUGAAGUGAAUCCGACA